UCGUCUUAUUGCAUAAGUAAUAAAGUUUUUUUUCUUGUAUUUAUUAUUUAAUUGUUAGCUUUCAUUUUGGAUUACUUCACAGUUUUUGGCAUUUUAAUUUGAUUCUUUGUGGUGUAAUGCUAGUGUUUUGCACAUGGUAUGGACAAUGGAUGAAGUUAUUAUCAAUCAAUGUCUAUUUUGUUACAAUUGCCUUUUUCCUAUUGUUGCGUCCAUUUUUCCUACUCGUGAAUCAUGAGUUUACAUGUUUCUUUUCAAUCUAAUUGACUCUUGAUUGUAUUGAUAGUUGAUAAAGAGGUUAAAAAACGUGUCUGUUAAAGCUGAAAACUCGAAGCAAAAUUUCCAUUCACUUGCCUGGAUCGAGCCAAUUUAUCCUGGAAUGGUUAUUGAAUAUACUUUUUGGCCUCGUAUAUAGACAUCCAAACAAACAGCUAAUUUCAAUAUUUUGAAAAUUUUGUCAAUUUUCAGAGCAAAAGGAAAAAUUAAAUCAAAUUGAUAUCAAAUUUGAUGGCAUGAAAACUGAAUCUUUUCAAAGCAAUUUCAUCAAGUAAAGGUUAUUAGGUGUGGUGCCAAUUGCUCUUAAUGGUGUUUAAAAAAAGGAAAGCCAUUGAUAUUGAUAUUGGAGAUAAUCACCUUUUCUUUCAGCAUCAUCCCUGUAAUCAAGGUAAAAUAAACAAAAAUUCAUUGAUUCCUGAUUGCAGUUGACGAGCCAAACUGAUGGAAUGAACAAAAAAUGAGCUAAAAAUAGGGGAAUAAGCAUGAGAAGCAAGUGUUGCUGAUUCCUCCGCUGAUGAUGAUAAUGAUGAUUACAAGUCUUCUCUCUCAUCUUUUCUUCUUCCUAUUCUUCUUCUCUUCCCUUCGUCAUCAUGAUCAUCCUUGUGACCUCAAAAGUGAAUCCAUUGAUAAUGCAUAGAGAUGGGAAUCGACUCAAAAAGACAGAAAAAUUUCUUCAGAGAAAGCCAGAAUUGACUAAAUUAGGAAGUUGAGAUAACUUUAUUUCCGAUAUCAUCCAUCCCACAUCUUUUCUUGCCAUUUUACUUUUUAUCAUCGCCAUCUCCAUCAUAACCAAUCUUCAUCACCUUUAUCUGUCUUUAUCAACCCAUGUUUCAAGAGUGAAUCAAUUAUGAAAAGUAACAACUGAAUGUCAACAUUUCUCGGCUUUAAUAAGCCUCAACAAAAUUUCAUGUUCACUCAAAUCAAGGUUAACUGGCAAUUUUUUCACCAUUUUUUGCCAAUUUUUUUGAUGACUUUCCUCUUCAAACCAGAUUAACCCAAUUUUUUCAUAGUUAAUAAAUGUUGCUACCACAUUACACAGCAAUCAUUAGGAUAAA